UAUCACUAAUUAGCUAAUCACCUAACCCUAAUUAUACAGUUUAUGUCGUUCUUCUCUUUGGUUUUUGGGGCACCGAAAUGCCGCUUAUGCCCAUUGCUUCCACGCGUCUGUCAUCGAUGGAAUCCUCCAUUUGGACUGUGUGUUCUCGAUUUUUCUUUUGCUUUCCGUUGCUUUGGCUGAAAAAUCUGGGAUGUUCCACCUGCUCCCUUGCUCUUCUUUUCCUCUUCUGUACUCUUCUUUCCUAUCGACUUCUCUGUGUCACUAUCUCGCAACCAACUACAACACCGAUUCACCCUCCAUUUCUCCCGCUUAGCAAAAGAAAAUCAAAGGGGUUCACCUCGUGGGUUCCGUAAGAUGCUGGAAGCAUCUUUCGUUUCUCUCUUUCUUCUUCUUUUCUUCCACCUCUUCCUUCGCCGAAGCAACUAAAAAUCAAAAACCUACUCGCGGCUUCUUCCUCCCGAUUUCGGAGCUUCUCUCUCCUCCAUUGAAGCACCUCCAUACACAGAUAUCGUUUCUCCCGUAAUUAUAUAUUUAAUUAUUUGAAAGUUAGUUCUUCUGUGUAAAAUUCUUGAGUUUUUGAUUACCUGCAAUUUUCAAUUUUCUACGAUAUAGGAUUUUUGAAUAAUUUCAUGAUAUAGCGAUCUUACUAAUGAUAUAUCAAGUAGAAUCAAUAUGAGGAAUAGAUUCUUCAAUUUCGUAGCUUCCAAGCCUAGACAAGAGAUCAUAUACGCGGCUUUUGCGUUUGUUUAUGUCUGAUUUGCACCGAUUUUGGUCGGAUCUAUUUCUGAUUUUGUUUUCUGUUUGAGCACCGGUUGUUUUUGCAUCGCUGGGAAGUUAAUUUUCUACAACUGAGGUAUGUUUUCUAACUGCUGUGUUUUGAUUAAUUUUGGAUGGAAUUGUAACCGUUUGGUUUUGGGUUGGCUUUGUUCCUGUGCUAGAGUUUUCCUGGCUAAGAGGAUAUUUUGUGGUUUGGUUCCUUGCUUGGUCAGUCUCAGGUUUACGGUACCGACGGUUCCGACGGUCCUGUUAUUUUUUGGAAAAUCAGGAAUUUGAACAUCAGCUUGCGACUUCGCUGUCGAUUUGAACGCCACCAGCUUCGAUGCAGUCCUUGGAGACACCCCUGCCUCUUUGCCAUAGUCAAAUUCUUCGCUCACUGGUGCAAAACACCAUAGAGUAUUUAAACAUCAUCGGGGCCUUGGAUGAGAAUGAGAAUCUGACUGUUUUAGAUAUUUCAGAAUUUUAGAAAGCAGGUGCGGUUUGAUCAAUUAAGGCCAACCUGAUUUACAGAGGUUUGAUUAAAGGUACAGGCUUAUUCAGUUUGAUGAAUGGCAAGGCUUAUCGAGAGCAAGCAAGCUAUGGUUAUGUGAGUGGUUCUUUUGUUUUUAUGUGUGUGUGUGUGUAUAUAUAUGUGAUUUUUCCAACAAUUGGUAUUAUAUAUUAUAAUGUGACAUGUUAUGUUUAGCUUUACAAAUAUACUUUUCGUAUACUUUAUGUUUUUAAUAUUAUUUGUAAGCAUAAACUUGUGACAUGACAUCCUUGCGUUUUACCUGGUCAUUAUUACAUAUUUGCACGGUGUCUCUUAGUUAUUUGUAUUGUCCUGGGCUAUGAACUAGCUUCACAUGCAUCGUUUACAUUCACUUUAGAUCAGGAGUUAGGUGUCAGCCUGUUCUUUUGUAUAAUGUUUUGGACUUGUAUGUGAUGCGACUAGCGCAGCAUAUGUGAUGUAGUACUAGAAUGUAAAACAUACACCCAGUCUGUUCCAUUGUUUGAAUAUCUCUGCAGUGGACUUGUGUGCCUACAUAAAUUAAUGAGCAUUGAUUUCUUAUAAUAAUGGUUUGAGAUUUAAUGUUAAUGAGCUAUUAAACCUAUUGACUAUACAAAUAUCUUAUUUGCGUGGAUCACAUUGUGCCAUCUCGUUCUGGACUUGGUGGAUUGUUCAUCACGUAGAAUUCUGUCUCCUUUUAGUUUCUCUCUCCUUACAUGUCUUUCUAUUUGGACGUUUAUGGUUAAUGUUAAUUUUUAAAUAGCUAGAAGAAGAUAAAAAACAAUUUGUGAGAGGAGAUGAGAGAAGAGGAUCGAAAUAAGAGGAGAGAAUUGAGAUUCUUUACUUCUAUUCAACAACGUACGAAAAUUAUCUUGAUUUUGGUCAUGACUAAAUGGUCGUUGAAUCUUGCUUCGGAAUAAAUAGAAUCAAAUGACCCAUGUUUAAAGUUUAAACCUUCCUCUGGAAGGUUGGAAGUCUACAAAAAGGCUAAGGCUUUACUUUUCCAUUCUACCGUUCCACGUAGCGCGCUCUCUCUCCACAUCUGGUAAGAUCCUAUUUUCUCCUUUGAUGCGAUCUAUAUUUGUAGUUAUAUUUUUAUUUUGUUAAUUUAUUUUCUUUCUUUUGUGUUUUAUAUGUCUUUUUUAUCAUGACAACAACACAAGUUUUCUAGUAAGAUUUUUGGAGUGGAAGGGGUAAAAAAGACAGCAUUGACACCACUUUUCACUAGUAAGUAAAUGAACCAAGUGAUUAUUUAUUUAUUACUGAAAUUGGCGUUAAUGCUGUCUUUUUCUACCACUUCCACCCCAAAAAUCUUACUAGAAAACUUGUGCGGUUGUCAUGAUUAAAAAGACAUAUAAAACACAAAAGAAAGAAAAAAAAAGUUAACAAAAUAAAAAUAUAACUACAAAUCUAGAUCACAUCAAAUGAGAAAGUAGGAUCUUACUAGAGGUGGAGAGAGAGCGCACUCCGUGGAACGGUGGAAGGGAAAAGUAAAGCCUUGGCACUUUUGUAGACUUCAAACCUUCCGAAUGAAGGUUUAAACUUUAAACAUGGGCCAUUUGAUUCUAUUUAUUCCAAGGCAAGUAUUCAACAACCAUUUAGCCAUAGCCAAAAUCAAGAAACUUUUCGUUGAAUAGAAGUAAAGAAUCCCAAUUCGCUUAUCUUAUUUCCAUCCUCUUCUCUCUUCCUCUUACAAAUUGUUUUUUAUCUUGUUGUGGCUAUUAAAAAAUUAACACAAAACGUUAACGUGAUCUAACCGUAACUGGUCAAAUAGAAGGAGAGGGAAUGGAAGAAAAACUAAGAGGGGAGAGAAUUCUACAUGACGGACAAUCCACCAAGUCCAGAAUGAGGUGGCACAAUGUGAUCCACACAAAUAAGAUAUUUGCGUGGUCAAUAAGUUUAAUAGGUCCGCAAACCUACGAGAGCUUGAAAUGUUGUGUAUAUAUGUUUUUCUUCCCCAAAUUGAGUUGCUAACCAUGUAUAAUUGGAUUGGUUGGUCAUAGAUCACCUAGAUUACAUAUAAUAUAUAUCGUUAUUUUGCAUAUGUUCUGAGCUCAAAGUUGGGAUUUUUGGUGUUAAAAAAAAUCCGAUCUUAGUUAAAAGUUAAAACGCACAUUAUAACGCAUGAGUAUUGUUAUAGUCAGGAGAAUUCAACCUCUUAACCAAGUCAUUUGCAUCAUAUAUCUAGAAGGUACAAACAGAGAAGAUAGAACUCCAAGAAUUUCUAACAAUUUUUGUUUAGAAUCAAUUAGGGUACGUACCUACCCCUAUGUGUAACUUUCCCAAAUGGAAUGCGGUUUAAUUAAGUACAAGAAAGUGAAACGUGUCAUUUAGAGAAGAAGAUUGUAGCACUGCUGCCUUUGUUUGGUUGAACUUGUUGAGCAAUAUUUAUGCCAAACCCACUGAUAUUUAGUAUUGCCCUCGUUUAUGUCACUUUGUAUUUGUACUUUGAUCGAUCAGUCUUCAUUUAACUUCAAACUUUUCAAAUUUAAGAUUGUUAGAACAUCUUGUAAGUUGUAACCUUGUUUUUGUUUUGUUUUUUUCAUUUUUUUUUAAAUAUUCGUUUGGGCAUCCACGUGAUGUUGAACCUUUAACCCAUUGUGUUUAUAUCCGGUUUUAGCGGAAACUACUUGAGUUUAUUGGCUAAAGUUUGUUAAUGGUGCGCUACUUCAACUUUUUUUAUUUUAUUUUAUUUUAUUUUUAUUUUAUUUUAAUUAAGUUUGUUUUUCCAAUAAACAAUAUAUUUAUAUUAAGAGGUAGAGGAUUUGGAUCAAGCCACACAAUAAAACAACCAUAAGAAAUUGAUUACGAUUCACAAUCCAUCGGACCCGAAAGUAAGACCUUCCCCUUGUAAGUGAAAGAGAAAAACCACUUAACUGGGUCCAUAGUACCAUGCGGAAAAUUAAAAUAAGAGAUUCAAAAUUAGAAAAUGUUAAAGGACGGAGUUUUUAUUUUGGAAAAUGCUAGGCAGACAUCAUUAAUUUUAACCGGAUUGGCAUACCAUUUUAUGUGGUAAGUGAUAUUAAAGAACAUAGUAUGUCAAUUAAUGAGCUUAUCUUAUUAGAUAUUGGUUAUAUGCAUCCUUUGUUAUUUCUUGUAAUACACAAAUAUGCAUCCAAAAAUGUGAUCCCAUACAUUACGGCGCUUUCAUUUUUUUUUUGUUCACAUAAGAGGACGUGUAAUAGUGUGAGCAAUGGUUUUUUUUUUUUUUUUUUUUUUUUUUUAAAUUUCCUGUCGCUGGUUGCUCGUUGAUUCAAUUUAGUUCGUUGAUGCAGUUUAGUUUUUAAUUGAACUUGAUUCAAGACCACUGUUAACGUUAUAAUAUGUCAGCUCAUUCUUUAUUGGAUGAGUUAUCCACAAUCACCUGGUAAACCUUUCAAAGAAAGGUUGUGUUGGAAUGCAUGCAAGUAGGGCUGGGCAAACGGGUACAGGACCCGCGGGUAGGGGCGGGUAUUGUCGAUUCGGGGCGGGUUCGGGGCGGGGCCAAAUUUGGUAGAGACAAAACGGAACGGGGCGGGGCGGGGAGAGGGUAUCUUCAGGGGCGGGGCGGUUCCAGAAUUUGAGAAUGUCGGGGCCCCGAACCGACCCGUUCUACCAUAACAAAGCAAUUGCUUUACUUUUUCAGUCAUCUUCUUCCCCCACUCCCAGAUUCCCCCCACUUUUUUCUCUGUUCUUGUUCUCUUCUCCCUCCCACCCCUCGACUGCGUCAAGAUCACAGAAGAUGUUGCAUCUUCCUCCACUCUCUAAAGCCAAGCCAUGGCCGCAAUCCACUGCUCCUCCACUCUCCACUCUCUUAAACCGCCGUCGCCGCUUCCUCCUCAGCUCUCCAGCCUCAGACCCUCUCUCCUCUCCGCCAGCAAACACCCAAACAGUAAGAAGAACAAAAAGCUCACCGGAUACAGACCCUGCAGAGCGGAGUUCUCAAACGACGCGCCGUUCGUCGCCGCCAUUGGCGCCUACAUGCUCUCGUCGCUGGUGCUUCCCGCCAGCAUUCCCGAUGACGAUGCCGAAGGCGGUUCGGCAACGGAUUCCACCGAUGCCAGGUUCGCCGUCAUGGGCGUCAUCAGCUUCAUUCCCUACUUCAAUUGGCUGGUAAAACAAACAAACAAAAAACCCAUUUUUCUUUCAAAUUCUUGAACUUUUUGAUUAUUUAUAUGAAUUUGUUUGUUGGGUUGGACUGAAUAAUUGUAGACUACCCAUGCUUAAACGUCUUGAACGUCAUGGGCGUCAUUCACCUACUACUACUAUCUCUGUCCACACCCAUUUCUUCAAUCCCAACGAAGAACUCAUCCUCGGAGAAGAUCUUAAGCCCAUUUUUUCAAUAAUUCAUAGAUUACCCAUGCUUAAUUUGGUUGAAUGAUGUGUUUGGAAUCUAUGUGUUGUUGAUUUAUCUGAUACUUUGGAUCUUGAUCUACGCGUUGCGUUGGUAUGGUUUUCUUUUAUUUGCUGAGGAACACAACCUUCAGGCUUCAAUUCGUUCCUUUCUGUGCUAAGACCCGUGGACCCGGCCCGAAUCGACCCGUUUCAAACGGGUCGAGUUAGGUCCGGUUCCAAAAUUUGAAAUCCCAUUACUCGCCCCGACCCGCCCCGUUGUGUUUUCAUACAGGUCCGGUCCGGUCCCUCCAAAUUUGGGCCCGGCCCGGCCCGUGCCCAGCCCUACAUGCAAGUCAUAUCUUUUGUUAAAAUGCAUGCAUGAAAUAAACAUGUUGGAUGACUAGUGAAGUUAG